GAGUGGCGGACGGGUGAGUAACACGUGGGUAACCUGCCCUUAAGUGGGGGAUAACAUUUGGAAACAGAUGCUAAUACCGCAUAGAUCCAAGAACCGCAUGGUUCUUGGCUGAAAGAUGGCGUAAGCUAUCGCUUUUGGAUGGACCCGCGGCGUAUUAGCUAGUUGGUGAGGUAAUGGCUCACCAAGGCGAUGAUACGUAGCCGAACUGAGAGGUUGAUCGGCCACAUUGGGACUGAGACACGGCCCAAACUCCUACGGGAGGCAGCAGUAGGGAAUCUUCCACAAUGGACGCAAGUCUGAUGGAGCAACGCCGCGUGAGUGAAGAAGGCUUUCGGGUCGUAAAACUCUGUUGUUGGAGAAGAAUGGUCGGCAGAGUAACUGUUGUCGGCGUGACGGUAUCCAACCAGAAAGCCACGGCUAACUACGUGCCAGCAGCCGCGGUAAUACGUAGGUGGCAAGCGUUAUCCGGAUUUAUUGGGCGUAAAGCGAGCGCAGGCGGUUUUUUAAGUCUGAUGUGAAAGCCCUCGGCUUAACCGAGGAAGCGCAUCGGAAACUGGGAAACUUGAGUGCAGAAGAGGACAGUGGAACUCCAUGUGUAGCGGUGAAAUGCGUAGAUAUAUGGAAGA
rnacentral:rRNA from 1 species